rnacentral:lncRNA from 1 species
CUCCUCCCCCAGGAGCUUGCUACAAGUGCCAGAAAUCUGGCCACCAGGCCAAGGAAUGCCUGCAGCCCAGGAUUCCUCCUAAGCCGUGUCCCAUCUGUGCAGGACCCCACUGGAAAUCAGACUGUCCAACUCACCUGGCAGCCACUCCCAGAGCCCCUGGAACUCUGGCCCAAGGCUCUCUGACUCCUUCCCAGAUCUUCUUGGCUUAGCAGCUGAAGACUGAUGCUGCCCAAUCACCUCGGAAGCCCCCUAGACCAUCACGGA